GGACUGCUUAGGAGUCCCACAAUAGGACGAAACGGCCGUCCAGCGC
rnacentral:hammerhead_ribozyme from 1 species